AUAGAACGCUAGCGGCAGGCCUAACACAUGCAAGUCGAGGGGUAGAAUUAGCUUGCUAAUUUGAGACCGGCGCACGGGUGCGUAACGCGUAUGCAAUCUACCUUGUACAGGGGGAUAGCCCAGAGAAAUUUGGAUUAAUACCCCAUGGUAUAAUUAAUUUGCAUGAAUUGAUUAUUAAAGUUCCAACGGUACAAGAUGAGCAUGCGUCCCAUUAGCUAGUUGGUGUGGUAACGGCAUACCAAGGCGACGAUGGGUAGGGGUCCUGAGAGGGAGAUCCCCCACACUGGUACUGAGACACGGACCAGACUCCUACGGGAGGCAGCAGUGAGGAAUAUUGGUCAAUGGGCGGAAGCCUGAACCAGCCAUGCCGCGUGCAGGAUGACGGCCCUACGGGUUGUAAACUGUCGUUUUCCCCGGGGCGAACUAACCCCCUCGCGAGGGGGGAUGCCGGUACCGGGGGAAUAAGGAUCGGCUAACUCCGUG
rnacentral:rRNA from 1 species